rnacentral:rRNA from 1 species
GACGAACGCUGGCGGCGUGCUUAACACAUGCAAGUCGAACGGAAAGGCCCUGCUUUUGUGGGGUGCUCGAGUGGCGAACGGGUGAGUAACACGUGAGUACCCUGCACUUGACUUUGGGGUAACUUCAGGAAACUGGGGCUAAUACCGGAUAGGAGCUACUGCUGCAUGGUGGGGGUUGGAAAGUUUCGGCGGUUGGGGAUGGACUCGCGGCUUAUCAGCUUGUUGGUGGGGUAGUGGCUUACCAAGGCUUUGACGGGUAGCCGGCCUGAGAGGGUGACAGGCUACGUCGGGACGGAAAUGCGGCCCAGACUCGUAUGGGACGCAGCGGUGCGGAAGAUUGUACUAUGGGCGGAGGCCUGAUGCAGCACCGCCGCGUGCGGGAUGACAGCCAGCUGGUUGGAAUCCGCUAUCGUCUGGGACGAGGCGUGAGUGACGGUAAUGGGUGAAGAAGCACCGGCUAACUACGUG